UUUUCUCUGAAUCAAAGCCAUAGUAGUUUAAAGUUAGCUUGUGUAAAGUAUACAGAAAUGAAAAUACAUAUAUCUCCACUCGAGACGCGAGGCACGUUCCUCAUCCCGAGCCGGUGCAGCGGUAGCGCUCUUGUCUUUCUCUCCAACGUUCUGUAACCAAUCCUUUCGACUCAUUUUAUUCACUCGCGAUCCUCGAGGCUCUAUAAUCAGAGCUUUGUUAUUAGCACGGCUCUGUACGGGCUUUAUUAAGGAAGUACCAGAGGUUCGUAUUUGAGUCUGAAAACUCGACAGUUUUAAAAAAAUAGUCAUACGGAAUAAUUCCCUCCUCUCGAUGUACGGUGAAACAACGAAACAAUGUCAGGCCCACGAACAAAUUUCAUUCAACUCGACUUCCGUCUAGAUCUGCUUUUCUUGGAGUAGAAUAAAAAAAGAACCAAGCGGAGUCGCGGAGUUCCCAGUUGGAUUUGAAAUCCAGGAACACAUACAGAGGAUCGCGUUAUAGGCAUUAGAUUGGGAGUCUGCACGAGAAACGCUAACGAAUUAAUCAAGUCUCCGCGUAAAGUUGCCUCUAUCAAAUACGACUGCGAAACCGCGGUACUGACGGUUAAUCAUCUUCCCAGCUGUACUGCAGCUAUUUCUCAGUAUAAAUGCAAGAUACAUGAUAUGACGCGUGUGACUGUAAUACGAAGAUUAUCCUUCGGCACUCGACAGAUUGCUCAUAUACCUGUUUUCAAUCUUCCAUCGAAUCGAUCAGAGUAGAGAAAGAGAGGAAUAUAGCUCCGUCGUAAUCUUGAUGUACGGACAUAAUUAUUUGUGGAGGUAUAAAGUGCUUUGUUCAAAUAUGCGAUUGUUAAAUCGACGAGUUGAAAUAUUUAAGAAUAAUAAAUCAGAUAUAUAGAUCACGCACGCGCGUGCAUAAUUACACGUAACGUCGAGUUUUCACUUAACAUGACAUCACGCGCUUACGAGGCGAUUAGGAUUUCGUGAGAAUAUCAGAUAGCUCGUCUGUUGACGCUGAAUGAGGAUAAAGCGUAGUACAAUUUGAGGAAAUCAGAGCAGAAUUAGGUUUCAAUUACGGGGUUAAUAGGCCGCCAAAAAAAAUCAAACCCUUCCACCAUGAUAGUAUUCGGUGGAAUUAAACGCCACUGAGAACAGACGUUCGUCUUCUUUAACGACUUUGAGAAGGUAUUAUUGAAGAUAAGGUCACGUUGGAUAUUCUCUCGCCUUCAAACGUAUUACCACCAACGUGUAGACGUAUAUUCCCAGAUCAUUCGUCAAGGGAUCAUUCGAUUCGACGCAAAAACUAUACGAGCAAAAAAUUUCUUCAGUUACCCGCAACGCACUCUAGGUGGAAUUUGAUUUGAUAAUGCAGCCUAUCCACUGAACUACCGUUAGUACUCCUUACUGAACUUUCGAGUAUCUUUCAAUGAAAUUAAGUAUUUCACACAUGUAUGCAUAGCUAUAGGUAUCGCAAUAUAGAGGCGAUGAAGCUGGUGCUCGACACGCCGCACGAAUGAGAAGCCUUGCAGUUCUCGGAAUUAGCCAAUAAGAGCUAAAAAUAAUACGCAUGGAAAUCGCAAGCUCUUGAAGUAUAAAGAAAAUCAACCGUGUGCGGUAGUUUAUAUUUAGGUAUAUAGUUGCUGGUAUGACAAGCUACAUUUCGAGACCUGCAACUGCUAUGGCGUGCCAGGGUGUCCUUAUACUCCGUACGCGGAAGCGCAAUACCAUGUGGUAGACUUCUAUUCUGAAAGCAGCCAUAAAGAGCUUCUUGAAUCCGUAGAUACGUUAUGCAACUUUUUUAAAGUAGUGUUGGAAAAAAAGGGAAAUUCAAGACCACCACGUGACUUUUCGCUAUCCAACUAUCUCUGGCACGCGAUACUGCACUGCAAUUAAAAAAGAAAGAAAACAAUUUUCUCUACAAGAACACGCAAUGGUCCCGAACAAAACUGUCGAUUUUUUUUUUCUUAUGUGUGCACACGUAUACCUCGAGUUAAACAUUUUUGACCUGAUGUUGUUACUUUAAAAAACCGUACACUAUAGAGAUCUUCUACAGGCAGCUCUUCACCUGGGUAUAUUUUUAAAUUGAGUCUCCGAACCCUUCUGCAGAAAUACCCGAGAGGACGAAAAUUUAUGAGGAGAUGAAAUACGUUACACAUUCGCUAACUAGUCCAGAUGGUUGAAAAUCCAAAGACAACGAUUACGAUUAUUAGUCUCUGAAUUUAUUCUGCAAGUUUUCAAAAAUGAAUUCGACUCCCGACUUUGUACAACCGAAAUUAAAUGUAAGAAGCUUCUGUAUUCUUUUGUAUUUCGACCGUACAUCGCUGAACGUGAAAAAUAAAAAUAGGUGUGCAAGGCAUUUCGACUGGGAGCUACGUUGACAAACGCAAAACACAACACCGAUAAUGCAUACCUCAGGAAGUUCGUCUGGUACUUUUCCCAUCCAGCUGAGAGACAGGAUGUUGCAGUCACACUUGGCGUUAUUAUUUUUUUCAAAAUGCAAAUGCAUUUUUGUAUCAUUUGUUCCGUAAUCCCAUGUAAUAACCCAAUUGAAUAUAUCAUUCAACUAUACGAUCAACAGUUUCUUCUAUAACAUUUUUAUUAUCUACGUGGUGAAUGUUGGGGGAAUAGAAUAAUAUUAAACACUCAUAAUCGA